rnacentral:misc_RNA from 1 species
GGGGAGGUGAGGUUGCCGGUGACGGAGAGGGUGGUGAGGCGGCCGGCGGAGCAGGAGAGGGUUAGGGAGGGGGAGGGUGGAAGGGAGCAGAAGUCGGUGUGGGGGGUGAGAGGGGCGAGGGCUGCCGGGUACUCGAGAAUGUGCUGGAGGCGGAGGAGGGACUUGGAUUGGGAUGGGGAUAGCGGCUGUGCGGCGGCGCCGGCGAGAAGGAGGAGGAGGAAGAGGGUGUAGGGUGGAGGUGUCAUGGUUUUGGCGGCGGUCAGCUAUGAUCAGAAAUGGAGAACUA